rnacentral:tRNA from 1 species
GGCUGUUUAGCUCAGAAGGUUAGAGCGCCGCCCUGAUAAGGCGGAGGUCCGGGGUUCAACUCCCCGAGCAGCUA